CAAAGCUUGGGUUUCCUAAAGACUGUUCCUAUAAGACUGACUCAACCAAGUUCACACAAGACCAACUCAAGCUUAAAAUGGUAAAGCUAUUCUUGACCCUCUUCGUCCUUGACAAGUUCCAGAGAUUGUUGAAGGAAUCAGCACCAGCAAGAAAGACAAUUUGUUCAACUCUGAAUAGAAUACUGGCUUGAUCAGUACAGAGCAACUUCUUCCCCAGGAUUUAGGUUACCAGGAGAACCGGAACUAACAGCAAAGAAAAUGGGUUCAGUUCUCAUCAUCAGUUGUCUGCAAGUUGAGUUUCACAGUGGGACAUGUGAUGAAACUGCAAAAAUGUAGGAUCUAUUUAUGUUUACUAAGAUGGAACGUGGGGAAUUGAGAGACAUGGGCUAUAGAAAAAAAAGAGUAUUCCAAAUUUAUUCUUACCAGAUAGCAUUAUGCUCUUUUGUGUUUUGAAAUAAAAAUUUUGAAAGCAAAGAUAAUGUUUUUAAAGUAUUAGCUAAAUUCU
rnacentral:lncRNA from 1 species